GAUGAACGCUGGCGGCGUGCCUAAUACAUGCAAGUCGUACGGAAAGGCCCUUCGGGGUACUCGAGUGGCGGACGGCUGAGUAACGCGUGGGAACGUGCCCCAAAGUGAGGGAUAACGAACCGAAAGGUGUGCCAAUACCGCAUAUGGUCGUCGGAUUAAAGCUUCGGCGCUUUGGGAGCGGCCCGCGUACGAUUAGAUAGUUGGUGAGGUAAUGGCUCACCAAGUCGACGAUCGUUAGCUGGUCUGAGAGGAUGAUCAGCCAGACUGGGACUGAGACACGGCCCAGACUCCUACGGGAGGCAGCAGUAAGGAAUCUUCCACAAUGGGGGCAACCCUGAUGGAGCAACGCCGCGUGCAGGAUGAAGGUUUUCGGAUCGUAAACUGCUUUUAUAAGUGAAGAAUAUGACGGUAACUUAUGAAUAAGGAUCGGCUAACUACGUGCCAGCCGCCGCGGUAA
rnacentral:rRNA from 1 species